GAUGAACGCUGGCGGCGUGCCUAAUACAUGCAAGUCGAGCGAACAGAUGAGGAGCUUGCUCCUCUGACGUUAGCGGCGGACGGGUGAGUAACACGUGGAUAACCUACCUAUAAGACUGGGAUAACUUCGGGAAACCGGAGCUAAUACCGGAUAAUAUAUUGAACCGCAUGGUUCAAUAGUGAAAGACGGUUUUGCUGUCACUUAUAGAUGGAUCCGCGCCGCAUUAGCUAGUUGGUAAGGUAACGGCUUAUCAAGGCAACGAUGCGUAGCCGACCUGAGAGGGUGAUCGGCCACACUGGAACUGAGACACGGUCCAGACUCCCACGGGAGGCAGCAGUAGGGAAUCUUCCGCAAUGGGCGAAAGCCUGACGGAGCAACGCCGCGUGAGUGAUGAAGGUCUUCGGAUCGUAAAACUCUGUUAUUAGGGAAGAACAAAUGUGUAAGUAACUAUGCACGUCUUGACGGUACCUAAUCAGAAAGCCACGGCUAACUACGUG
rnacentral:rRNA from 1 species